rnacentral:rRNA from 1 species
UUAAUAAUUAUUUAUUAAUUUUAUUAUUUUAUUUAUUUAUUAUAUUAAAAAUAAUUAUAUAUAUUUAAUUUUUAGUAUUAUAUUAAGAAAAAAUAAUUUUUAUUAUAGUGUAUUAGUAUUGUAAAAUAAAUUUGAAAUAAUUUGAAAAAUUUUUAUUUUAUAAAUAAAUUUAAUUUAUUGUACCUUGUGUAUCAGGGUUUAUUAAUUAAAAAAUAAAAUUUUAUUAUUCUCGAAUUUAAAAGAGUUAAUAAAUUAUUAAAGUUAUUGUGAUAAAAUUAUUUUAAAUAGUUUAUUAGAAAUGAAAAGUUAUUCGUUUUUAAAUAUAUCUAGUUUUUUAAGAAAUAAAUUUAAUUUAAAAUUUUAAAAUGUAUUGAUCUAAAUUAAUAGAUUAAUAUUUUUAAAAUUAAAUAUUUUAUGGGAUAAGCUGUAAAAUAAAUUUUUAAAAAUUAUUAAAUAAUUUAUAAAAAUAUAUGUUUAGAAUUAACAAUUAUUUAUAAUUUUGUUAUAAAUUAUUUAUAAAAUUAUAUUAUUUAUUAAGAUUUUAAAUUUUUAUUAAAAUAUUUAUUUUAAUUUAAAAAAUAAAUUAAUAAUGAUAAAAUUAGUAUAUUUUAGUUUAAAAAUAAAUAUUUAUGAAAAGUUUAUAUAAAGAACUCGGCAAAUUUAAUAUUCGCCUGUUUAACAAAAACAUGUCUUUUUGUAUUUAUUAAAAAGUCUGACCUGCCCAUUGAUAAUUAUUUAACGGCCGCAGUAUAUUAACUGUGCAAAGGUAGCAUAAUCAUUAGUUUUUUAAUUGAAAGCUAGAAUGAAUGGUUGGACGAAAUAUUAACUGUUUCAUAUAAAUUUAUUAUAGAAUUUAAUUUUUUAGUUAAAAAGCUAAAAUUUUUUUAAAAGACGAGAAGACCCUAUAAAUCUUUAUAUUUAUUUUAUAAUAAAUUUUUUAGAUUUAUUUUAUUUAUUAUAAAAUAAAUAUUUUAUUGGGGUGAUAGUAAAAUUUAAAAAACUUUUAUUUUUAUUUUUACAUUAAUUUAUGAAUUAUUGAUCCAUUAAUAAUGAUUAAAAAAUUAAGUUACUUUAGGGAUAACAGCGUAAUAUUUUUGGAGAGUUCUUAUUGAUAAAAAUGAUUGCGACCUCGAUGUUGGAUUAAGAUAUAAUUUUAGGUGCAGUAGCUUAAAUUUAAAGUCUGUUCGACUUUUAAAUUCUUACAUGAUCUGAGUUCAAACCGGUGUAAGCCAGGUUGGUUUCUAUCUUUAAUAAUUUAAAAUAUUUUAGUACGAAAGGAGUAAAUAUUUGAAUUAUAAAAUUUUAUAUAUUGAAUAUAAUUAAUAUAAUAU